rnacentral:rRNA from 1 species
ACUUCUUUUAUGGAGAGUUUGAUCCUGGCUCAGGAUGAACGCUGGCGGCGUGCCUAAUACAUGCAAGUAGGUCGUGCAGGUAACGAG